ACCCUCUCGGGGUCACAGCUGGAGAAUUUUCAGUACUCUACCAGUCUCGGCUAUGGGAGGGAGAGUCAAGCAGAGGCCUACCCAUUCCAUUCCUAGCUUGGGCAGUGGCUAGAGAGUGGAAGACAAGCUGACACAAGU